rnacentral:misc_RNA from 1 species
GAUGAAGAACGCAGCGAAAUGCGAUAAGUAAUGUGAAUUGCAGAAUUCAGUGAAUCAUCGAAUCUUUGAAUGCACAUUGCGCCCCUUGGUAUUCCGAGGGGCAUGCCUGUUCGAGCGUCAUUAUAACCCCUCAAGCUCAGCUUGGUGUUGGGGCCUGCUGCACUGGCAGCCCUUAAAAUCAGUGGCGGCGCCAUCUGGCUCUAAGCGUAGUAAUUCUUCUCGCUAUGGAGUCCUGGUGGAUGCUUGCCAUCAACCCCCAAUUUUUCUAUGGUUGACCUCGGAUCAGGUAGGGAUACCCGCUGAACUUAAGCAUAUCAAUAAGCGGAGGA